GAAUACUUGACGUCUGCGCAAUGCGUCUGCAAAAGCGCAGGCGCUGCGUGUGACGUAAGCGAGAGGCGACCAAUGGUGUUGUAGAUGUACGCAGGAAUAUUUGCGCAGUUGCAUAGUGAAGGGUGCAGCCAUUAUUUUUUGGUGCCUCACUGUUAACUACAGGUUGUAGACUAAGCUGAAAAAGAAAUAUACCUGAUACCGCGAAUAUUUCGCUAAGCUCUUUCUUAGCUCUCAAUAAGCAGAGAUUUCUGAGCACUUUUUAUUUUUUAUUUUUCAGGGAAGUACACGCGGGAAGCCUGAGGAGAGUCUGGAGACUGUUUGUGCGUAGUUUUGAACCGCACCGUAACACGGAACUAUAACAUUAUUAACACGAACUGUUUGACUCCCAGUGUAGUGAUGGACGUGUCGCUGAAAAUCGAGUCAUCUGAAAGUGUUAUGCCUCCAUCCUGCGAUGAAAGUCCAGCUGCAACUGAGUCGACUGCGAGCAUUUCUUCUGUAACUGCGGCUCAUCAUGUGGAGCAGCUCAAGGAGCCGACCCCUGUGUUCCUUUACCCUAUCAGUAUAAACAGUCCUGUAUCUGUAUUUAGAGACCAGAAGGUACCCCAUGGUGAGUCUUUUCAUAAAUUGGUGUGUGUGUGUGUGUGUGUGUGUGUGUGUGUGUGUGUGUGUAAUGCACAGUACCAACACAUAUUGCAUGCAAAAAUACAUUCAACAUGUAACUAAAUCAUAACAAAGUAUAUUAGUAUUACAGUGUUAUUGUGACUAGGUAUGUAUUGUUACCGAUACCACACGCAUACUUGUAAAAACAAAUGCUCCAAUACCAUGUGAUACUAUACAGUCCCUCCAGGAUUUUGCAAUUUUGUGACGAAUUAACGAAACGCCGCAAUAUUCAGAGGAGCUUGAAAUUGUUCGAAAUUACCACAGAUUUCGGGCCAAGACGUGGCAAUGUGAGGUCAUCAAAGCAUGCAUUCAUCCAAAGAACUCUUCGAUUCACGUGCGUCGAACAUGAGUAGAGAUAAAAGGUCUUAUUUACCAACAAGCAUCACUGCAAAAGGCCGUGCAAAACAAUUUUGUGGAAUUGCAGUUUUGCCAAUUUGAGUAGUUUUCUGCAAAAAAAAAAGCACAAAAACUCUGCAAAAUUGCAUCACAAAUUUUGAAAAAAGCCACAGCAAAAUCAAGCAUUUUUGGCUGCAAUAAUCACAAAAAAACUCAGUUAAAUCCUGACUAUUUCAGUGGAUCUCAACCAGGGGGGUGUGGAGAGAUCAGAAGGGGGUGCGAAUUUAAAAAAAAUUAUUCACAGACAGGGUAUCAUUUGGGUACUCGGUGCAUUUUAUUGUUUUUCAAGUAAAAUGUGUAUAAAUGAAACGCUCCAUGUUCUCUCUCCUUCUGUAUUUUCUUGUUGCUGGGGAGAGGCCGAGUUUAGCCUGCCUUUUAUCUAGCUGUCAGUGCAGACCAGUGUUGCCAACUUAGCGAAUUUAGUGGCUUUUUUAUUUAAAUAAUAAAUAAAAAAACCCUAGCAACAAAUCUAGCGACUUUUUGGACAAACCUUAGCAACUUUCCAAAUGUUGCCAGUACUGUCCUGCAAGCGUGAGGUCUUGCUUUCCCGCUGCACUCACACCUCGCUCUGCGUCUGCUCUGUUCUUUUUGGGGCUGAGAGCCGGAGAUUUAACAAGACGAGGUCAUACAGCGUCUUCCUGCAAUACAAGUAACCUGAUAAAACGCCUUAUGAAUGUGGAGCACUUACCAGUGAGCGUGGUGAUUAAAAAUAAGUUCACACAAAAUCAUAGGCAAGCACUGAGUAGUAAUGUUAGUGUUUAGAGGAACUGUGACUCAUGAAAGCACUUCAGUUCUGCGAGAACUGAGACACCUUGUGACCACACUUGUAGAUAGCACUCAGGUUGAUCAACCUUGCGCUCUCUAUUAAAGAUACUAAAUGGCAUAAUAUCUUUGCCAUAAAACUCGGCACAUGGAGUUUAUUACUUAUUACUUACUGAUUAGGUUUAUGUACAGUAACUAAGUAGGUUACUCAUUUUGGUAACCAUAUCAGUAUUGACAAGUAUCAUAAAGAGUGCGCUUGUAUACGGUCGGGGGGAUGGUAUUAUUGCAUUCCUAAUACUUACUUUUUCACAGCUGUUAGAAGGGAGGAAGCAAGAAAAGGUACUGCGGCACGGGGCUACCCUGAAGCAGUGUCUACCUCAUCCGAGUUCACCCACCGUGCUAUUGUGCACCUCAUUGAAGCGAUGCAUCGUUGCUGGGACGUGUAUGGCUCCCAUGAACGCUCUCGUCUCUUCCAGAAUGUCCAGAAUGAGCUGGAGAACCUUGGCCACUUGCUGCCAGUAGAAAAGAUUAGAAGAAAAUGGAACAACCUCAUUGUCACAUACAAGAGAGUAAAAGAGCGCAGCAGAUUGGGCAGAGGCCAGGCCAAGACCUCAUGGGAAUACUUUGAGAUGAUGGACAAAGUAUUGGGAAAAACAAAGAUUAAUCAGCACGAUCCUGCUUCAGCCACUCCUGUUGGAGUUGCAACCACAGCUAAAACAGCUGUAAAGUCUGAAGAGCACCAGCCACACAGUGUGUCAGUCGCUGCAGUGGCCACUCCUUGUUUGCUCCCUAGUGGCCUCUUCACCGCACCUUCCCCAGUUCCUACGCUGGUGACAUCCCCUUUGCUGUGUAACACAUCCCCAAAUCCAGACCCAAGCCCUGCAUGCAGCACUGACAGUUCCAUGCCCACGGUUUCCCCCAGACCUGCUUCCAAGAUCACAAGGCAGCCACUGAAACGGAGGUUUCUGCAUCUUCAGCUCGGCUCAGUGGGCUCUCGCAUUGCCCAGCAGCAGGGGCACGCAGGUGAGCGUACUACCCUUCUUCGCAAUUUCAUCACCAGUCAUGAAGAACGCGCACGCCUGG
ensembl:lncRNA